ensembl:lncRNA
GAGAAGACAAGUUCAUAAUUUAUUUAUUGCUACAAAUAAAGAUCAAGCUGAAAAGAUACUUUCAAGAUGUAGAGCCAUUUGAGUCAAAAGUAUCAUAAACAAAAGUUUGACUGCUCUUUACAGGUCAGGUUUCUAACAGUGAACAAUUGCUAUGACUUGCUCAAAACUGAAUCCAGAGCGCAAAUUAUUUACAGCCAUAAUCCCUGGAGUAGCAUGGAUGACUAAAAAAAAUCAUAUGACAAUCUGGCCAUAAAUUAUCCACAAAUGAAAAACAAACAAGCAAAAAAAACCCCAGUAAAACAAAACAAAACCAAACCUAAACAAACUAAAAACUCACCAGAAAAAUGUCAGGCAAACAAGAUAUAAAACAGAUAUCGAAUUAUUUCACUUUAUUAAUUAAUUUCUAGUGUAAUUUUUGGAAUUCUUUCAAUAAUAAGGUUGAUUACAUUUCCUGAAUCAUAUGCUUUUUUAAAUUAGUGUCAUGUGUGCCCAAAAGCCAGAGAAAUAUUUGCUGCUAUAAUGAAGCUUUAAAUAAAUAAUAAUUUAGGGUUGUCUCUUAAGACACAGAAGAGUCACUAUUUCUUAUAAAAAUAAUUCCCACAUGAAAACUAGUAAUUAACUACAGAGCAGAAAAUGUAUAUGCUUACCAUUUUUUUUUUUUUUUCAAACCUGACAAACAGGAUGCAGAUAAAGACAACAUCUCUGGAGCUGUAGAAAUCUCAAAUUAUCUCUUUCUCACUACCUGAAAAGUAGCUCCUGUGUUUCAGGGACAAAGAAAAGUUUUCUCUGCACUGUGUGAGAUUUACUAUAUCGAAAGCCAAUUCUCCCAGCCUAUAAUUCUUAUUGUUAACAGAGAAGACUUAGAACACCUGUGUUAAUACAAUCCAUCCAUUCCUUCAAAGAAAAUGAGGAAAAGUGACAGGAGGAAGCUGGGCUGACCAGACAAGAAAUAAAAAUGUGAUUACAAGGCUAGAAGAAAAAUGGAAGAAGAAAAGGGGAAAUAGGAGAUUGUUGCUAUUAGCUCACCUGUACACAUAGAAUAUGGUGCAUUCUUGGCCUAUAGACUUCCAUGCUACCAUCUGUACUUUUCCAUGCUGGAAAACAAUUUUGCAGUCUUUUACCAAUUUAGAGAGAGCACUGUGAGAAAAACACUAGCCUUGCAGGGAGCUGGGAAGGUAGCAGGGAUGCGUGAUGUCAGCAUGCUGAGGGUACGGACAUGAUGGAGAAAAAGACUUAGAGACAGAGAAACAGCAGUAUGGCUGCCCAAGAUGUGGGUUAGACGUUGCCUUGAAGACUCUGUACACCUCUGGUGACCCCCGCUCAAGAAAGAUGAAUUUAAAUCAGAAAACACACAGUUCAGACCUAUUGGGAGGCAGUAACCUCCUCUUUUAUGCAGCGUGAUGGGAAGUUUUUAUUUCUAUGCAGAAUUUGUGUAUACCAAUGGAAGAAAAACCAAGGGAGAACAACAAAGUUUUUCGGCAAGGGUGGUAAAACAUUUUCAGAGGUCAUCCAGAGAUGUGAUGAUUGCCCCACCCCUGGGAACAGUCAAAGUCAGGCUGAAUGGGGCUUUGAGCAACCCAAUCUACUUGAAGAUGUUCCACUUAUGCCAGGAGGGCUUGAGUAGAUGGCCUUUAAAGGUCCUUUACAACCCC